GGGGGCAUGGCGAAACCGGUAGACGCAGCGGACUUAAAAUCCGCAGGCCGAAAGGCUGUGGGGGUUCGAGUCCCCCUGCCCCCA
rnacentral:tRNA from 1 species